rnacentral:tRNA from 1 species
GCGAAAGUGGCGGAACUGGUAGACGCGCUGGAUUUAGGUUCCAGUGCCGCAAGGUGUGCGGGUUCGACUCCCGCCUUUCGCACCA